GCGGCAGGCUUAACACAUGCAAGUCGAGGGGUAGGGUUCUUCGGAAUCUGAGACCGGCGCACGGGUGCGUAACGCGUAUGCAAUCUGCCUUUCACAGAGGGAUAGCCCAGAGAAAUUUGGAUUAAUACCUCAUAGCAUAAUCAAACCGCAUGGUUCGAUUAUUAAAGUCACAACGGUGAAAGAUGAGCAUGCGUCCCAUUAGCUAGUUGGUAAGGUAACGGCUUACCAAGGCCACGAUGGGUAGGGGUCCUGAGAGGGAGAUCCCCCACACUGGUACUGAGACACGGACCAGACUCCUACGGGAGGCAGCAGUGAGGAAUAUUGGUCAAUGGGCGCAAGCCUGAACCAGCCAUGCCGCGUGCAGGAUGACGGUCCUAUGGAUUGUAAACUGCUUUUGUACGGGAAGAAACACUCCGACGUGUCGGAGCUUGACGGUACCGUAAGAAUAAGGAUCGGCUAACUCCGUGCCAGCAGCCGCGGUAAUACGGAGGAUCCAAGCGUUAUCCGGAAUCAUUGGGUUUAAAGGGUCCGUAGGCGGUCUUGUAAGUCAGUGGUGAAAGCCCAUCGCUCAACGGUGGAACGGCCAUUGAUACUGCAGGACUUGAAUUAUUGGGAAGUAACUAGAAUAUGUAGUGUAGCGGUGAAAUGCUUAGAGAUUACAUGGAAUACCAAUUGCGAAGGCAGGUUACUACCAAUUGAUUGACGCUGAUGGACGAAAGCGUGGGUAGCGAACAGGAUUAGAUACCCUGGUAGUCCACGCCGUAAACGAUGGAUACUAGCUGUUGGGAGCAAUUUCAGUGGCUAAGCGAAAGUGAUAAGUAUCCCACCUGGGGAGUACGAACGCAAGUUUGAAACUCAAAGGAAUUGACGGGGGCCCGCACAAGCGGUGGAGCAUGUGGUUUAAUUCGAUGAUACGCGAGGAACCUUACCAAGGCUUAAAUGCAGACUGACCGAUUUGGAAACAGAUCUUUCGCAAGACAGUUUACAAGGUGCUGCAUGGUUGUCGUCAGCUCGUGCCGUGAGGUGUCAGUUUAAGUCCUAUAACGAGCGCAACCCCUGUUGUUAGUUGC
rnacentral:rRNA from 1 species